rnacentral:rRNA from 1 species
GAUUAACGCUGGCGGCGUGCAUAACACAUGCAAGUCGAACGAUGAAACUUUAAUGAACCCUUCGGGGAGAAUUAAAGCGGAUUAGUGGCGAACGGGUGAGUAACGCGUGAGUAACCUGCCUUACACAAGGGGAUAGCCUUUGGAAACGAAGAAUAAUACCCUAUAAAACCAUAAAAGCACAUGCAAUUAUGGUCAAAGUGAUAGCGGUGUAAGAUGGACUUGCGUCUGAUUAGCUAGUUGGUGAGAUAAAAGCCCACCAAGGCAACGAUCAGUAGCCGGCUUGAGAGAGUGUACGGCCACAUUGGGACAGAGACACGGCCCAGACUCCUACGGGAGGCAGCAGUGGGGAAUUUUGCACAAUGGGGGAAACCCUGAUGCAGCGACGCCGCGUGAUUUAGAAGGCCUUCGGGUUGUAAAAAUCUUUUGUAUAGGAAGAAAAUGACAGUACUAUACGAAUAAGGUCCGGCUAAUUACGUG